UACGGGGGGGGCAAGCGUUGUUCGGAAUUACUGGGCGUAAAGGGCUCGUAGGUGGCCAACUAAGUCAGACGUGAAAUCCCUCGGCUUAACCGGGGAACUGCGUCUGAUACUGGAUGGCUUGAGUUCGGGAGAGGGAUGCGGAAUUCCAGGUGUAGCGGUGAAAUGCGUAGAUAUCUGGAGGAACACCGGUGGCGAAGGCGGCAUUCUGGACUACAACUGACACUGAGGAACGAAAGCCAGGGGAGCAAACGGG
rnacentral:rRNA from 1 species